rnacentral:misc_RNA from 1 species
AGAGAACAGUCUCCAUUUAGUACCUCAAUUCAUUCAAAUCCUGAAAUUCAUGACUCUGAACAGAAUCAUAGACAAUCUGAUGAGACUACCAUCAAUUCCGUGGACCAAAAUACACAUCAGCAGAAUAAUAUGGAACCUGUUGAGGAACUGAGACAUGGUUCUCCGGCUGCUGGUCAGAGUACUAGUAGUAGCAUGUGUAAUAGCAUUGCAGAUCACAAUAACAGCAGUGCGUAUGGAAGCGUUUGCAGUAGAAAUGAUGGAAAUGCUAUUUUGGUGGUAGGAUCUGAGAAGGCUAGGGUUCCAGAGAGCUUGAAUGAUGGAGGUCUCUUUCUUCAUGACAGAUUCAGAGGGAUGGAUUCUCAUCGUGCCAGCAGCCCUGACAAAGUUCCGACUGAAGCGGAAAGAUCGAUGCUACGAGAAAAAGGUUCGAUACCAAAGCCGGAAAAGACUAGCAGAGCAGCGCCCUCGAGUAAAAGGGCAGUUUGUUCGUCAAGUGCAAAAUGAUCUUCCAAUGGCUGAUGCUAAUAAUUGAAUAUGAAACUCAUCAUCGACCACAUGUCUGGUGACUGUCAUUCGCCUGAAUUGUAAAUGAUGGAAUGAUCAUCGAGUAAAAUCUGAAUGUGUGAGAGAUGCUUUUGUGUUGCUACGGCCUAUAGGUGUAAUUUUUGUAUCUACCAAAAAGUUGGCCUUGUAAUUAUCUAGUGAGGUGGUCGUUGUUCUCUACUAUGGUUAAUGUGUUUGCUUGCUCAGUGGAUCCGUAGAU